GUCCUCCUCAACGCUGCGUUUCUAUGCUACGAACGGAGAGACUCGCGCAAGCGUGUCUUUCACACCCUUUUCCUUCGGGAAAACACUUUCUACUAGGCAUAUGAGAAAUUCGGAGAAAUCGCUUCACCUUCAGCCUAUAAUCAUCAGGUCCACCUGGUGUUUGGCUCUGCCGGUAACGGUCUGCGCGUGAUCCUCGCGUCUGUAAUUGGCAUCAGAAAAGCAGGGCGCUGAGCUCCUCUGGUCGCUUGCGAUCGGGGAUAGUUUCAGCGUUUCCUCUGGGAGGGCCAUUACGAAGCUUGUGAAUGAAAUCACUUGAGUGCAAUACGCAGCGUGCAUACCCGUUACUCCCCUUUCGAGAGGAGGAUGGACUGCACAAUUCGAUUCCGAUUACUCUGUCGAGGAC
rnacentral:RNase_P_RNA from 2 species